ACCUGGCUGGCCCAGUCGGUAGAGCACGCGACUCGUGAUCUCGGGGUUGUGAGUUUGAGCCCCAUGCUGGGUG
rnacentral:tRNA from 1 species